UCUCUCUCCUUUUAAGAUUGUGACAGAGGUGUACAGAUAGUUCUGUGAAGAAUUAUUUUUUUUUCCUUUUUUCAGAUUUUCAACUUUCAGUGUCAUUUCAAAUUUCAGAAAAUAAAUGUGGAAAACAGACUGAUGACAGCUUUGUGACAUCCACCCCUCUACCUCUGAGUGCCUUUUAUCCAACAGGAAAACAAAGCAUUCAGUUAAGGAAGACUGGAAAAAUUCAGCCUGAAUCCCUCAUUGACCUGAAACCCACCCUCCAGGGGCAACCAGCAGCUUCCAGACCAGCCUUUCGUUAUUCGUUGUCCUUCCUAAUGAGAACAACAUUAGACUCCUACUUCAACAUGACUGAAAUGAUUUCACAGUAGAAAAUGAUCAUCUCUCUACUUCAGAAGCAUUGGUGAUGUUUGCUAUUCAAAUGAGAAUCCUUCCGUACUAACUGUUUUAUUAUCACUAUUAUUAUUUCUAUAUGCUGCAGAAAAGAGGAGACUCAUUAUUUUCCAUCAGUUCAUUUAGCAGUGGCUGAAAGUUUCUUCUAGUAAACACAAGGAUCAGUCUCUGCUCUGAAGAAUUGAGUGACUACAAAAACGCAGUGGCAUCUUUUAUGCAGAGCAUCACCCCUAUGCCUUUACUCACUGUGCUUUUCCUUAAAUGACUGUAAUGAGACUGUUAAGCAUUCCAGCCUUGUGACUAAUCCCUGCAGGUUUUGCCAGUGACAAUAAUAUCAAAUUUCUUCUCAUCAAUGGGAAUUUCCAUUUCCAGCUUGCUUGUUACCCCGAAGUCUAGAACUGCUGUAUAAGUAAUAGGAAACCCUCUUUUUCUUCACAACUUCAGCACAGCAGCUCAAUUUGUUUGCAACAUGCUGAGUUUGAGUUCAGAUUGCAUUUGCCUUCUUAGCACCUUCCCUUUGUGUCAUUAGUCAAGCAACCGCCUGGCUGCUCCAGCUUGUUUCUGACAGAACGGAGUAGCUUUGAGAUGGAGGCCAUUCUGCUCAUAUGUGAUUGCAUAUAUAUAUAAAAGACUGAAAGCAGCACUAUAAAACCUCCAGCAACUCGGCUACACGCUGCAGCCACUUAUUUUCCCGUGACAUCACAACGCUCUUUUUCCUACCCACCAGCUGGUGGGAAGUGUCAAGUGGCAAUGCUGGAAGAUCACAGGAAGAAUCGCUGCCUUCAGACUCCAAACUUAAUUACAAUGGGUACAACUCCAUCAUCCCUGCUGCAACUGGUCUUGGAAUACACUUGUGCCUGGAGUGCCCCUCUUCCUCAUUUCUUUCCUUGGUAGCUGUUGGUAGGUGGGAGAAAGGAUGAGCAUCGGCCUCUGAGUAAUCAGCAUCACAGCAAAGGAACUGCUGAAUCAGAUGUCAUC
ensembl:lncRNA